rnacentral:lncRNA from 1 species
UGAGCACAAACAACUGAUAAGUGGCCUGGACUGGACAAGUCAAACCAUUCAUGUGACCAUGCUAUGACAAUCACAUCCAGUUAAAAAAAAAAAAAAAAAGAACCGGCCUUCCUGGUCUGUUUACAAAGGUUAGACCCGGGGGAGGGGAAACAGACAUUCUUUUAAAUGUGGCCCUGGCAUUUGUCGUCGUCUUCAUCCGUCGUCGUUAACUUUUACAAAAAUCUUCUCCUAUAAAACUACUUGUCCAAAUUUAACCAAAUUUGGCCACAAUCCUCAUUGGGGUAUCUAGUUUAAAAAAUGUGUCCGGUGACCCGACCAACCAACCAAGAUGGCCGCCAUGGCUUAAGAUAGAACAUAGGGCUAAAAUGUAGAUUUUGGC